UACGUAGGUGGCAAGCGUUGUCCGGAAUUACUGGGUGUAAAGCGCGUGUAGGCGGCAGACCAAGUCGGCGGUGAAAGCGCCCGGCUCAACUGGGCGAGGUCCGUGGAAACUGGUCAGCUGGAGGACGGUAGAGGCGAGUGGAAUUCCCGGUGUAGUGGUGAAAUGCGUAGAGAUCGGGAGGAACACCUGUGGCGAAGGCGGCUCGCUGGGCCGGUCCUGACGCUGAGACGCGAAGGCGUGGGGAGCGAACGG
rnacentral:rRNA from 1 species